UACAGAGGGGGCAAGCGUUGUUCGGAAUUACUGGGCGUAAAGCGUGCGCAGGCGGUGAUGUAAGACAGUUGUGAAAGCCCCGGGCUCAACCUGGGGAUGGCGAUGGAAACUGGCGAGCUGGAGUGUGGCAGAGGGGGGUGGAAUUCCGCGUGUAGCAGUGAAAUGCGUAGAGAUGCGGAGGAACACCGAUGGCGAAGGCAGCCCCCUGGGCUGACACUGACGCUCAGGCACGAAAGCGUGGGGAGCAAACAGG
rnacentral:rRNA from 1 species